CGACAUCAUUCAUGGACUCCAGUCUCCCUGCCAAUCGUGCGAGGGCGGCCUGCUGUUCAGCUUCUCGCUGUUGAGAGCUGCAGAGACAUACUCCUGUCGCUGCAGCUCCCGGAUGGCUGAGCGGAUCCGCCGCCGUUCUGCCAGAUCUGCAGUGACCUCCAGCUGCAAUGUAGGUGGGAGUAAGGGGUGGGCAUUCUGUCAGGGGCAAAGGACUGGCACCAACUGCCCACAGCUCUGCCAGGGGCACAAUGGAUGGCUUGUCUCCAGUCUCUCUACCCUAAGCCUUCCACGUGCCUGCCUCCCACUCAGGGUUUUUAGGGGCAACCUCGCUCAUGACACCAAAGAUCCUGAGAAGCCCACUGUGCAGUGUGAUGCCGAGGGCCCCCUUCUGUGAGUGCACAGCCUGUAGCCACCGACCCAAGCCAGGUGCCAAGCAGCCAGGCACUCCUUUGUGGGACUUGACAUCUGCUCUCCGGGGGCUUUCAUUAACCCUUUAGACCAGGGAGCCACAGCAGGAAGAGUGUAGUCACCCUUCUUCUCUGAGCUACCGACAAGAGUCCAAGGAACGAGAAGGGUGAUUCAGGUAGCUGAAGUCUGACUAGGUGAUCUACCUAGUCAGAGUAGCAGGGCCCUGCCGGGAAAGAUGUGAGACAGGGAAUCUGAGGCAGUAGCCUAGCUCCCUGCUUGGCAGUGAGUUACCUUUCCCCUUUUACUGACUAUGGCCUAGUCCUAGCCACCAUGGAAGAAGUCAAGACCUAGGGUGGGAAGGGCUAGACCCCUAGUGAGUGACCCAAAGUGUCAGACCCAGCACUAAAUCCCAUUUGCCACUUGCUUGGUUUUUUGAGACAGGGUUUCUCUGUGUAGCCCAGGCUGUUCUGGAACUUGCUCUGUAGACCAUGCUGGCCUAGAACCCAGAGACCUGCCUGCCUCUGCCUUCCAAAUGCUUGGAGUUAAGGGACGGACACACCAUCUCAGCCAGCUUCUACCGUCCUCCCUUCAAGGUUUAGUUUUAUUCAUGUGUUUGCAUGUAUCUGUAUGAGUGGAUGCCAUGUGCACAUGGGUGACUGUGGAGGCCAGAAGAGGGCAUCAGGUCUCUGGAGCCAGAGUUACCAAGUGCUGGGACUUUCGGAAGAGGAGCUAAGGCUCUUAAUUAACUGAUGGUCCCAUCCAGACCUACUCUUGAUACAUUACUUUGAUACAUCAUUUUUAUCUGAUAAGAGGGAAUUGAGUGUCUUGUUUAUGGCUUGCCUGAGACAAGAUAGCUGUGGUGUUGAGGGCUCUCUGUCAUGGUGGGGAACUUUGAGGUCCUGUACCAGAGCCCCCUUUAGCCUGCUCUAGAAAUGUCAAAGUCAAAGGAAACCUUAUUACAACCAAGAGAUCUAUGCUCACUUCUCACAGAACAUGUGGAGAUCGGUGGCCUGAGGAGACAGCUGGUCCAGACUGGUCCGGAGGGUCAAGAUCCAGAGAUACAAUGACUUUGUCUCAUGGGUCCUCAUUUCCAACCCCCAGGAAAAAAAAUACAAGAUAGGAACUUGGCCAUUUCUACAACCCCUGGGUACCUCAGUGUCUCCAUUUGGAAAUUUGGAUCCUCCUAAUGAAUUCUCUAAGUGGAAGGGGGUGGCUGGGCCUCACUCUGCUGGCCACUCCCUGGCAUCCUUCCUUUUGGGACUGUGGGCAAAGCUCUGACAAGUGUCCCUGCUGUGUCCUGUGUUCCACGCCCUCUCAAACACCAAAGGUCAGACCACAGUGUUUCUACUGUGUCUAGAGUUCCUCACCCUCUCGGUCACCCCCACUGUGUGUGGAGGGGACUGCGGGAGGGAGGGAAGGAAAUACAAAGAACUAUUGUCCGCCAGGGGGAAGGGGAUGGUUUCCGAAACUGCCUAGUGAAAUUCUCCUGGGAGGAAAGAGGGUGCUUCCUCCUCCGGUGGGAGGAUGGAGGGGGAGGGGACUGAGGCUCGGGUGCUUUCUACUCCGGCUGCUGGGGGGCAUCUAUUCAACCCAACGUUCCUAGUUUCAGGCUCUCCCUCCUGCACAAAAAGUGAUUCUCCUGUAGUUCCUCCCUCAGUCCCAGACCAGAGCUGCCCCCUGUGUUGAUAGCAAUUGGGGAAAUGCCUCGCCAGGGGGCGCUAAAAGCCCGCAGGCUGCAGCCACCAGCACAGGGCUCACUCACGCCCCACCCACCCAGUCUCCAGCCGGGCGUCCCAGCUAGGAGCCAGGCAGGAAACCCUCCGCCACCGCCGGCUUUAACGUCCCAUCUGCAAAGGAAGGGAGGUUCACAGCACCUAAGCUGCUUCCCUAGGUCACCCGGACGGGAGGUGGCAGACGUGCAAACACGUGGCAGGGGGCACAGGCAGCGUGCCUGUCCUUAGGUGCCCCUGUCCCGUGCAGCCCACCACCCCGUCCUCAGGAAUGUGCGGGAGCGGGACCGGAAGCAACUGCGGCUCCCCCAGUCAGCUGGGCACAGCUUUCCCAUAUAAGGCCGGGCCCCACGGGGAGGAGCCGGGCCCGGGACCGUUCCUGCCACGAAGCCGGAGGGUGGGACCCUCACAGCUCCAGGCACAGCAAUGGCGCGCACGGGCGCGGUGAAGCCCGGGGCUGGAGUGGGCCUGGGGCCGUGGAGACGAGACAGGGUUGGGUCUCCCUUGUCCUUUGCUCCCAGGCCCGGGGCUGGGAGGAAGCACGUCCGGCAACUACUGCUUCUGUUUCUCCUCUAACAGCACGUUUCCCAGCUUCCAAACCUUGCAUGAAUGGGGUCUGAUGGGAGUGCGUGAACACUCAGCGUGGCUUUUCCUAUGGAAAACAUGAAGACUCUGACUUGAGGGACGGCGAAGGUGACCGGUGGGCAUCUUUGGAGACCCAAUCCCAUCUCCUGGCAGCAGAGAGCCUGGAGUGGCUGCCCUUGGCAGUGGUGCAGGAUGAGGUUAAGGUUCUUGCCCCAGGACACACAGGCCAACCUCAUAGGAGAGGUCAAGGCAAUUAGACCAAGUGGCUCAAGCCUCUGCCUCUAGGGGAAAGGAUUGGUGGUGGUAUGGGUCACUUGUAAGGAAAGUAAAGUCUAUAUAAUUUUUUGCCCUUGACAGAGAGCAGGGUCUGGUUGGUGGGGCUGUGGCCCCUCUCCCCACGGCCUACAGCAGGGCCUUGCUGGUGGACGCAUAUUACUGCUCUGCUGUGUUGGCCCACUGCCUCUGUGUAUGGGAGGAGGAAGACCUUGAGUGGAGUGGACCAACCCAGUCUCUAUCCCAAAGUCAGGUUCUUCUAGCCUUUCCCAUGACUCUGGGUAUCCCAAGACUUCCCCCCACCCCCGGAGUUUGGACCCUAAUAAAGCUUUUAGCCUGGAGCGUUUGGGUAUGUGGUUUCCCCACACAGAGGGGCAGUAUGCGGGUGCUGCAUCUGUGACCUGUCAGAUACUGUGCUCAGCACCCAGCAGUUGUUCUCUGGUUUGUUACUCAUUGCUGCCCAUUAUCACUGGGCAGGCCUACAGGAGUGGGCAGUGCCCAUGCUGCUAGGAAGAGGCAGAUCCAGCCUUCCCACACCUAUAGCAGCCCAUGGGUGAGUCCCAGCAGUUACUGUUUAAACAAGAGAUGACAGUUGGGGGUGGGUAGGUACCAGGUCUCAGCACCUGACAUGGACAGGAACAUGCCACAAGAGCCUCUGGAGCAGCCAAAUGGAACCAACCUGGCGCUGUUCCCUGAGCCUCUCCUCCAAACCCCUCCCCCUCCUUAUGUACUGAGAAGUACAUAAGAAGUGGCCUACAUCCCUGGGUUGGCCACCCCACAGUACAGUAAUAGAGCUACUUAUUACCAGUUUUCGGAGGGCUCCUUCAUCCAGCCCAGCUAAAGCCUCGUCUGCCAUCUUGCUGGCCCCUAAUUCCUUCAGUAUGUCAGCUCCCGCCAGGUCCUGGUGGCACUCAGAAUUCUGCAAAAGGCAGACAUGAGUUAGGUUGCUGAAGAUUUUGUAGAAAUCUCGGUCCCCUGGGGUUUAUGCCUCUGUUGCCCUCUUUAGCCCAUAAGCGUUCAUGUCUUUCCUGUCCUACCCUGACAUGUGGCUCCUGGCUGGGAACUGUCCUCUGCCCCAGGGUAUUUUGCUGAAGAAAAAAAAAAAAAAAAAACCUCACCAAACCAAGAAUAGGUGUUUCUGUUUCAGCCUUACCAGCUUGGCUGCCAGUCUGCCCUGUGGUCUAAGUUGACAUCCUGACUAAGCCCCACACAAGAAGGGCCUGUACCUAGAUGGAGAAGAGGACUCAGCAAGGCCCACCAAGCCAUGCUUACCACCAGGGGGUACACGCCAGUCUCUAGUUACCUGCCAUACCCACUCACCUCUAGGGGCCACCGAGCCUGCCCCUCCACCCACCUCCACAAGCUGGGCGUCUGGCUGUGGGCUGAGCCCAUAUCCAAUUCUUACUAAGACUGUCAUUCCCACAGGUAUGGGAGCUACCUGUGUCUGGCAGUUCUUGGAGCCAGCCUUCAGUUUUGACUCCUUUCCUCCCUGAUGUCAGCAGACCUGACCUUGGGGAGCCAGGUGUCCCUCUCUCCCUGUCCAUUCACACACUCAGAAUUCACUCACAGUUCACUUUCCAACUGGAAGGGCCUUGGGAAGCUGACCCACCCAACCUCUGGACUUCAGGCAAACUGAGAGGAUGGGAGAUGGUCAAAGAUUCAUCACAGGGGGUCAGAAAAACUCAGACUCAAAGGGCAGAAAGAACCUAACACAAAUCUUGGUGACUUCUGCCUUCUGAAGUCCCCUUCCAAGAUGCUGCCCAAGACUCCAGGCUGUUUGUUUCUUGUUCAACCACUGACCGUCAAAAUGGAUUCCUAAAUCUGGUGCCAGUCUCUAGCCCAAAUCACUCCUUCCUGGAGUCCCCAGUGUCUCUGGAAUUUGUGGUUCCAUGGUCUAGCACACCUGGAUGUUUUGCUAAUGUGGUGACUGAAAUGGCCUCUGGACCCCCCACCUCCAUUGAUUCAUCCCGAAAUCAUCCACUCCCUCUCUACAACAGUCACUUGGUGUGAGUCACCCCAUCCGGUGAAUGGGUCUGGGGGAGUCCCAGUGCGCACUAGUUGGAGUUGGAAGGCACUGCUAGAGUCUUUACCUCCUAGUCUAGAUACUCUGUCUGGGGUAACUACCCCUCCCCAGUGCCCAAUCUUAAGUAUUGUGGACAUGCUAUGCUUCUUCAUGUUGGGUAAGGGUGUUGUUAGUUCCAAACCUAGGUGAUACUCGGGACUGUCUGCUCAGAAAUUCCUGCCACUGCUUGCCACCAUUCUCAUGGCUUCAUGCUACAGAGUUUUCAGUCCUGGGGAUUGUUAAGGCCCUGCGAGAGAUGGGUCAGGAUCUGGGAAAGAUUCCUCGAGGUAUCAGCUCCCUAUAGAUUAGUGUCUCUGGGGAUCGAGAAGCCUCUUCCAAGUCCAUAGAGUCUCUUCAAGACUCUUUCCCCAGGGUCUCAGAACUUCAACCAUGUGUCUUUGGAGUUCUCGUGAUUUGGCUAGGGUUCCCGGACCUGGGAGUUUCAGAAUCCCUGUCCAGACAUCCAGGUUUCACACCCCCUUCCCCGGACUCAUCCGGACUCCUAGAGUAGACCCGAGAUCCUCAUACCCACCUCUCAGUCCGGCCCGCCGUUCCGGCGCAGUUUCGUGUUAGUUUGGUCGGGACCCGGUAGAUGCAGUAGAGACCGGCAGACCGACGGGAGGAGCCGCAGCCCAGGAGCCCAGGCCGGUUCAGCAACGUACCCUGGACUCUGCUGCAGACGCCUGUCCCGCGGCGCCAGCCAGAUGGCUGGCUCCGCCCUGCCAAGCUGUCCCAGCCAAUUCUCUGUUGAGACACGCCCCUGCUCUGGUCCCAUUGGGAAAAUUCAAUUUUUUAGGACCCGCCCCCAAAAGACUCCAGCCCCUCACUGUACAGGCAUGUUGGGUAUUGUAGUUUUGGGGACUGCUGUUGCGAGGUCCUAGACAUCCUCGGGUGGGCUUCACCAGGAUACAGGCUCUAAGCCAAAGUCCGGAAUGUGCCACAAACCGGGCAAAUAAGUAUCUUGGGAUCCUGUAAGCCCUGAGCGGUCCUGACAGCCCCUCCCUGCCCUCCUUUUUGUUCUUGAGACCACAUCCUUUCUCCGGACUCCACCCACUAGGCGCCUUAGUACACAGACUGCCCAGUCAACUCAACGCUCAAAGGGCGCUUUCGGGACACCUGGUCUGUGCCACCUCAGGCCCCAAGAGGUGGUCCUCUCACCUUAUAUAUUGGAAAAUAAGACCUAGAGAAGGAAGCCCCUUGCGGGGGAGGCAGAAGAAAUGCGCCAAACCGACGAAGACGCCGGCUGUGGAGGUUUCCUAGUCUUCCCUACCUGAGUGGGAAGCCGAUUGCUCCAGUGAACCGCCUGCUCGCGCUGGCUGAGAUCAAUGAAUGGCCGAGGGAUGGUGCCAUGUAAAAAGGUAUCUGGUAGUGGUGGUGAUGGUGAUCUAGGCAUCAAAGGGCGACCCCGUGCAAGUGGUGAGAACUUUAUAAUGUAGGCAGGGAAGAGAAAACGUCCCGUGAAUGUACAGCAGGCACUGAAAGUCAGAUUGCCAAGAUAACAACUGUGCAAGACAGUCGGAUUCUACAAGAAGGAAGUUGAAACCCAAGGUGGUAAUGGCACUAUUAUCGCAGAAUUUUGCCUAGAACCAGAGCACCUUUCCUCCCCUUGUUAUUUCUAAGAUGGAAGAAAUCCUGGAGGGCUCCUCGGAGGUGGAUGCUAAACAUCAUUGAAGAUGAGUACAAAGAAAGUCAUCAGAUGGAAAGACAUUUUUCAGAAGAGUAAAAUCUGAGAGGCUUGUGGGUAAGAAAAGGAGGUGAGCAGAAUGUGGGUAGAAUAAGAAACAGGGGUGGUAUUAUCUGGGAACAGCCAGAUGAGAAGGAUGAAUGAAUUUGGGAGGACCUGGGAGGCUUGAGUUUCUGUCUGCUCAUCUGUAAAAGCUGCAGAACUGACCGACCGACUGGCUUCCAGGCCUCCAAAGGGCUAUAAGAGGAAAGCUCUGGAUUCUUCCACAUCCAACCCCGUUCCUGGCAGAGUUGGGGGGAGGGGCAGACACAUCUCGUGGGCCAAGGGCAAUAUUUUGCUCCAAAGCUCAAGUCCAAAAAUGAUGGUUUUACCAAGCUGGCAGCCUGGUUCCCUGAGCCAUUCCGGCUUCUUCUGCCCCAGACAGGGCCCGAGCCUGCACCUGGAGCCAAGCCUGCAUCUGGGGCGGAGCCUGCACCCGGGGCCAAGCGAGUGGCAAGAAACGUGAUGCUUUCUUGAUGCUGUUUCUGCCCUAUGCAUGGCCUCGGACUUCUCGGAGACUCAGUUUCCUUCUCUGCACAGUGGAGAUCAAUGCGUUCGGUGGUGAUCUGGGCAUUUCUAAGCAUCCCUCCCAAGCUGUACAACAGAAAACCUUUCAGAAAGAGCUUAGCCUUAGGAGAUGCCUGUAAGUGGUUACAAGGCCGACUGAGGCCUGACCCUUGGAGUGUGAAGUGAUCGAGGAGGCCGAUGGGCAACAGAAAGAAUCAGGGAGUGAGAAGUGGCUUGAUGGCUGAUGGUGCAGGCAAGGCAGGAGGAGAGAUGGUACCUAUAUUCUAAAACCCACUGAGAGCAGAGUGUAGAGGAAAGGAGCAGCAGGAGCAGCAGGCGGCAGAUGCUAGCUGUGAGACCAGACAGGAGCAGUCUAGCAAAUGAGGCCAUGGUUCUGAGAUGGGACUGGGUGGGCCCUUCCCCCCUGUUGGUAGAGCUGAGGCCCCCAUGGUCACAGCCAGCAGCUUGAGGAGCAACAUUGAUGACCUGCUUCUCAAACCAGUUUGGCAAGUCUGUCACAUGUCAUCCAGCUGUUGUGUCUCUGGGCAACUAUGCUUGACCGACUGCCAUCCUUGGAGGAGAGAGAAAAGACUACAGAACAGCUACUGGGAAGAGGGGGCACCAGAAGUACAGUCCCAGGGACAAAGGGGAGGGCUCGUGUGGGCUAACCUGGACCCCUGGGGACUUUUAAGGGGUCCCGAGUGCUGGGAGAAAGAUGUAUCCGUAGUAUGAUUUGGACCCUGGUUCCCAGUACACAUGUAGCAGUUCCAGCAUAAGGACCCUUGAGUCCAGUGAGAUGUCACCUCUGCAGAGAUGAGGCAGUCUCAGUGAGGCUACGGCAUCUGACUCCUCACCCACAACUCAGACACAGACCCUUGAUCCUGAUCACUGAACAGCUGCCCUGUGGGAGCUUGGCCCAUCUGAUACUUUGUCAGAUUUUUAAAACCAGUUCUCUGACUACUAGUGAAUGCAGGAGCCCUAGAUGUCUGUUUCAUGGUACAGAUACCUUGAGUCCCAGAGAGGACAAGGGGCAGGCCUCAAAUCACACAAAUCUUAAAUCCCGUCUUUCUUUCUCAGGGUUCGAUACACCUAAGCAUGAAAAAUAACACCAAACCUGGUACAUAUUGAUCACCUACUGUGUGUAUGGCACAUAUUGAGCACCUGCUGUUUAUACUCAGCUGUCAAGUAGGUACUGGGAUAUACCCAAUUUACAUAAGUAAAAACAACUGAAGUUCAGAGACAGGGUAAUUCUUAUCCAAGUUGACAUAGUGAGUUGAUGGCAGAGUUUGCAUUUUAGCCCAGAUGUGUGGGCCUUUUUCCUUCAGCAGACCCAGGAUUCCUUCCUGGAUACAUAAAGAGCUGUAGAUAGGAGAGCAAAUUGCUUCCUCCAAGGCCCCCAAGGCAAGCAGCAUAGACUCAAAGCCUCUGUGCAGGCCAGGCCUUUUUGGGGCUGGCAGGAAAGUGCUAAGACUGCAGAACCUUCCCAGAGGAGGCGGCAGUGGUGGGAGGGAGGGUUUAGCACCAACCUCAGAGCCAAGUGUAGACGUGGCUGCUGGACCAGCUGCAGGCAGGGUGGGGCCCAAACCCACAUGCAGCCUCCCAGCCGCGUUCCCAGCCUAGGCCCUGACUGCUCCUCUUACUCCCCAUCUGGAUUUGAGAUGAGGACUUUGGGCCUAAUAAUAGCCAAAUGGCAGACGAGGCAGUGUUUGGAUCUAUAGCCAGUGGGGGGCUGGGCCCCCCAUCAUCUCUCGAUGGCCUCAAAUAGCCUUAAAAAUAUAGCGUGCUUAUGAAAAAAUCAACAGUAACUCACUUAUUCCUCGUGAUGAGAUCAAGCUAUUACAAACCCUUUUGAUGGACAGAGUAAAUGAGAGCCACAGUUAAGCAUUUUGCACCCCCUCCAACUAAAUUUGGCAGCCAGCAGUUGCUUAGUCCUCUGAUUGUGUGCUGUGUCCCUCUGGGCACUGUUCUAAGUAGUAGCAAGGGUAUUGCCUGCAGCCAGGAUCAGAGAGAAGAGGGACUUGCCCAAGGUUACAUAGCUAUAAUGCAGACAGAGAGUAGGGACCCAGGAUGCUUCAGAAGUCAAUGCCUUAGCUUCUGAAAUACAACAAGUAAUGAGGCCCUUGCCUCUUGCUGCGUGGCUUUGACAAGUAGCCCGUGUCUGCUCUCUACUCCAUAGAAGGAGGUGCUGAUAAUGCUGUUAGCUAUUAGCCCACCUUGGGGAUAGCAGGCCAUUUAUUUCUCUUUCUCUUCUUCCUCCUCUUUUAUAUUCUAUGUCUCCUCCUCCUCUUCUUUUCCUCCCCCUCCUCCUCCCCCUCUUCCCCUUCCUCCUCCCCACACUGGGGACCACACCUGGGCUCACACUAUGAAGUGCACACAGCUCCAGCAGUUACUUUCAAUGGUGUGCUUACCUUGUGUGUGUCUUUUUCCAGUUCUCACAUUGGCCCCCAAAUAGUGACCCUUCUUUCAUCUGCCAAGUUAAUUAUGAAAAAUAUUCGCAUAAAGAGCUUAUCUACAGUGCAAAGAGAGGGUGGCUUGGGCCUGCAGAAAGGUCUAGGUUCCAUUAAGACCUUGCAUUAUACAGUUCCAGUUCUGGUUCUUUUCAUCCACUGAAAGAACUCCAAAGAUCGGAACUCAUGGUCACUGAUCAGGGCCAUCCACUGUCCUGCUCCAGUUAAGCCUGGUUCAGGAGCACAAGGGCGCCCAUUCUGUGAGGCGGAAGCAGGAAAGGAAGCAGUUACAUGUGUGUCCUCGCUGCCCUCUUGGACCACUCUUGCUCGCUUGUGAUAUGGGAUCCGCAUCAUUCUCAGGCUGCACUCAGUUGGACCUUGGAACUUAGAGGCCAGUACUUUAUUUUUACUUCUUAUUUUUCCUAUUUUAAAAUUGUGUGUUAAUGGUUUGUCUGCACAUAUGUCUGUGCACCAUGUGCAUGCAGUGCCCCAGGAGGCCAGAAGAGGGCAUCAGAUUCCCUGGAACUGCAGUUACCGAUGGUUGUGAGCUGUCAAUGGAGGAGCUGGGACUAGAACCCCAGUCCUCUGGAAGAACAAGUGCUCUAAAACACGGAGCCUUUUCUCUAGCCCCAGGGGCCAGUGUUUUCACCAGUAUUGGGAUCAAGUUCUUUUCUGAGAGCUAUACAUGAAUCAUUCAGCAGGGUCUCCCAGCUUUUCACAGUCUAUCAGUUUCUCUGUGUAGCCAUUAACCUGGUCGUGCGUGCCUAGGGUAUCUGCAUACCAAAUCCAUAAGCAAGUUCUGACACAGGUGGAUUCAGGACUCAGAACAGAGACUUGGGUGGUAGAACGUUGCCAUGGGAGAUGGUGGCAGCCAUGACACUAAUGGUCCUUGCCAUUUAGUUAGUUGAGUUUUGUUGUUGUUGUUGUUUGGCUUUAUUUUAUUUUGAGACAGGGUUUUUCUGGGUAGCCUUGGCUGUCCUGAAACUCACUGUGUAGACCAGGCUGGCAUCAAAUUCAGAGAUCCAAUUGCUUCUGCCUCUUCAGUGCUGAGAUUAAAGGGGUGUCCCACUACCUUCCUGCUUCUUGCCAAUUUUAUUAAAUAGAAUUAUGAGGCUCAGAAAAUUUGCUCAAGUCUAGAGGCUAAAAAGAAUUUUCUUGAAGUCAGAAAUGGCGGCUUUUGUUUUUAACCUCAGCAUUGGAGAGGGCAAGACAGACCAGACAGCCCAGACCUAGAGUGAAACAGAGAAAGCCCUUAAACAAACAAACAAACAAACAAACAAUGACACUAAACAAGAAGCCAGGGGUGAGGGCGUGCCGGGGACAGCCUGUGCAAACGUCCAGCUGUAACCGGGGGACACAGGGACUCUUUCGCCAGCUCUUAGUCUUGUAAACAAAAUAAUUUAAAAUGGACUCGGAAGGAAACGAUGGCAAUCUACUGGUGUUUAAGACAGAAAACCAGAGGGGAGUCAAACUGUAGCCCUCCAUGGCUGCUGAGCAGAGGAAGGUGAAGGAAAGAAGAACAGGGAGCUUGCCACUUGAGUUUUGAGUCAGGAAAGCAAGGUAAGAGGAAGGGUCUGGCAGCUGCUGCAUCUUCCAGGGAGAGAGGCUCAGAGUCCGCCGCCCGCCGGGGGAGUGGGAGAUGGAAAGGGGUGGAGUCCCACAGGGCAGGCGCUGCAGUGUCAGUGGGCUAGCCCCUGCAUUGAGGGGGCCUUUGCCGUGUUUAAAAACGAAUUUCACUAUGUGGGAUACUUAUUCCUUCAAGCGCUUAUUCCUCUCUCUUUUCUUAUCAUAUCUACAGGUGUAUCCAGGGGUUGGUCUUCUUUAGGUCAGAAAACAAGAUUUUCUUCUCACCAGGAGGUCUCCAGCCUCCUCUGAGCAAGGGAAGCACCUGCUGUCUCCAUCAGAAGGGCUUUUCAGCCACUGACUGAGCCAUUUGGAAACUGGAUGCCACACUGUCUCAGAGGAAGCUGACAUUGUGAGAGUCACACUCUGAAGCAAGCCCAGGGAAGUGGACAGGGGCAAAGGGCCCCUUCCUUUUGCUUUCAUUUGCUCCCUUUUUACUUGGCACUCUUUAUCUCUAAGGCAAGAACAGGAUCCUACUUGUACUGGCUGGCUUUAUGUCAACUUGACCCAAGCUGGAGUUAUAUGAGAGGCUGGAACCUCAAUUAAGAAAAUGCCUUCCUAAAGGCUGGGCUGUGGGCAAGCCUGUGGGGCAUUUUCUUAACUAGUGCUUGACGUGGGAGGGCCCAGCCCAUUGGGAGUGGUGUAAUACCUGGCCUGGUGGUCCUGGGCUCUAUAAGAAAGCAGGCUGAACAAGCUGUGGGGGGCAAGCCAGUCAGCAGCACCUUCCAUGACCUCUGCAUCAGUUUCUGCCUCCAAGUUCCUGCUCUGUUUGAGUUUCUGUCUGGAGUUCUUUUGAACAGUGCUGUGGAAGUGUAAGCUGAAUAAACCCUUUCCUUCC